rnacentral:lncRNA from 1 species
GUUACUGUAAUUGCACAACCUCAUGGUGGGUAUCGCGAUGACCUAGUCACCACUUUAAGGUGAAGCCCAAAUCAACAUUUGUCUUAAUACAGUGAGUCACCGUGAUUCCACUGCGUCGUAGCAUCACAAUGAUCCCCUCACCACAUCAUGGUGAGGCCUCCAUCGACGUUCCAGUUGCAGGAUUCAAAUCCCCAAGGGUAUUUUUGUCCUUUACCAAGCCCCC